UAGGGAAUCUUCGGCAAUGGACGAAAGUCUGACCGAGCAACGCCGCGUGAGUGAAGAAGGUUUUCGGAUCGUAAAACUCUGUUGUUAGAGAAGAACAAGUACGUUAGUAACUGAACGUCCCCUGACGGUAUCUAACCAGAAAGCCACGGCUAACUACGUGCCAGCAGCCGCGGUAAUACGUAGGUGGCAAGCGUUGUCCGGAUUUAUUGGGCGUAAAGCGAGCGCAGGCGGUUUCUUAAGUCUGAUGUGAAAGCCCCCGGCUCAACCGGGGAGGGUCAUUGGAAGCUGGGAGACUUGAGUGCAGAAGAAGAGAGUGGAAUUCCAUGUGUAGCGGUGAAAUGCGUAGAUAUAUGGAGGAACACCAGUGGCGAAGGCGGCUAUCUGGUCUGUAAAUGACGCUGAGGCUCGAAAGCGUGGGGAGCAAACAGG
rnacentral:rRNA from 1 species